GAUGAACGCGGGCGGCGUGCUUAACACAUGCAAGUCGAACGGGAAACCUUUUAUUGCAGCUUCGGCAGAUUUAGCUGGUUUCUAGUGGCGGACGGGUGAGUAACGCGUGGGUAACCUGCCUUAUACAGGGGGAUAACAGUCAGAAAUGGCUGCUAAUACCGCAUAAGCGCACAGAGCUGCAUGGCUCAGUGUGAAAAACUCCGGUGGUAUAAGAUGGACCCGCGUUGGAUUAGCUGGUUGGUGGGGUAACGGCCCACCAAGGCGACGAUCCAUAGCCGGCCCGAGAGGGUGAACGGCCACAUUGGGACUGAGACACGGCCCAGACUCCUACGGGAGGCAGCAGUGGGGAAUAUUGCACAAUGGGGGAAACCCUGAUGCAGCGACGCCGCGUGAAGGAAGAAGUAUCUCGGUAUGUAAACUUCUAUCAGCAGGGAAGAUAAUGACGGUACCUGACUAAGAAGCCCCGGCUAACUACGUG
rnacentral:rRNA from 1 species